rnacentral:rRNA from 1 species
CAAGGACCAGGUCGCCGCCUUCGCCACCGGUGUUCUUCCCAAUAUCUACGCAUUUCACCGCUACACAUGGAAUUCCACUUUCCUCUUCUGCACUCAAGUCUCCCAGUUUCCAAUGACCCUCCACGGUUGAGCCGUGGGCUUUCACAUCAGACUUAAGAAACCACCUGCGCGCGCUUUACGCCCAAUAAUUCCGGAUAACGCUUGCCACCUACGUAUUACCGCGGCUGCUGGCACGUAGUUAGCCGUGGCUUUCUGGUUAGGUACCGUCAAGGUGCCAGCUUAUUCAACUAGCACUUGUUCUUCCCUAACAACAGAGUUUUACGACCCGAAAGCUUUCAUCACUCACGCGGCGUUGCUCCGUCAGACUUUCGUCCAUUGCGGAAGAUUCCCUACUGCUGCCUCCCGUAGGAGUCUGGGCCGUGUCUCAGUCCCAGUGUGGCCGAUCACCCUCUCAGGUCGGCUACGCAUCGUUGCCUUGGUGAGCCGUUACCUCACCAACUAGCUAAUGCGACGCGGGUCCAUCCAUAAGUGACAGCCGAAGCCGCCUUUCAAUUUCGCACCAUGCGGUGCAAAAUGUUAUCCGGUAUUAGCCCCGGUUUCCCGGAGUUAUCCCAGUCUUAUGGGCAGGUUACCCACGUGUUACUCACCCGUCCGCCGCUAACUUCAUAAGAGCAAGCUCUUAAUCGGUUCGCUCGACUUGCAUGUAUUAGGCACGCCGCCAGCGUUCAUCCUGAGCCAGGAUCAAACUC